UACGUAGGGUGCAAGCGUUGUCCGGAAUCAUUGGGCGUAAAGCGCGUGUAGGCUGCUUCGCAAGUCGGAUGUGAAAGCCCUGGGCUCAACCCAGGAAGUGCAUUCGAAACUGCAGAGCUGGAGUCCUGGAGAGGAAGGCGGAAUUCUCGGUGUAGAGGUGAAAUUCGUAGAUAUCGAGAGGAACACCGGUGGCGAAGGCGGCCUUCUGGACAGUGACUGACGCUGAGACGCGAAAGCGUGGGGAGCAAACAGG
rnacentral:rRNA from 1 species